UACGUGAGGGUGCAAGCGUUGUCCGGAAUUAUUGGGCGUAAAGAGCUCGUAGGCGGUCUGUGCGUCGGCGUGUGAAACCCGGGGACUCAACCCCGGGCCUGCAGCCGAUACGGGCAGACUAGAGUUCGGCAGGGGAGACUGGAAUUCCUGGUGUAGCGGUGAAAUGCGUAGAUAUCAAGAGGAACACCUGCGGCGAAGGCGGGUUGCUGGGCCGACACUGACGCUGAGGCGCGAAAGCCAGGGGAGCGAACGGG
rnacentral:rRNA from 1 species